AGUGAACGCUGGCGGUAGGCCUAACACAUGCAAGUCGAACGGCAGCACAGUAAGAGCUUGCUCUUACGGGUGGCGAGUGGCGGACGGGUGAGGAAUACAUCGGAAUCUACUUUUUCGUGGGGGAUAACGUAGGGAAACUUACGCUAAUACCGCAUACGACCUACGGGGGAAAGCAGGGGAUCUUCGGACCUUGCGCGAUUGAAUGAGCCGCUGUCGGAUUAGCUAGUUGGCGGGGUAAAGGCCCACCAAGGCGACGAUCCGUAGCUGGUCUGAGAGGAUGAUCGGCCACACUGGAACUGAGACACGGUCCAGACUCCUACGGGAGGCAGCAGUGGGGAAUAUUGGACAAUGGGCGCAAGCCUGAUCCAGCCAUACCGCGUGGGUGAAGAAGGCCUUCGGGUUGUAAAGCCCUUUUGUUGGGAAAGAAAAGCAGCAGGUUAAUACCCCGCUGUUCUGACGGUACCCAAAGAAUAAGCACCGGCUAACUUCGUG
rnacentral:rRNA from 1 species